UACGUAGGGGGCGAGCGUUGUCCGGAUUUAUUGGGCGUAAGAGCUCGUAGGCGGUUCGGUAAGUCGGAUGUGAAAUCUCCACGCUCAACGUGGAGGGGCCAUUCGAUACUGCCGUGACUCGAGUCCGGUAGGGGAGUGUGGAAUUCCCGGUGUAGCGGUGAAAUGCGCAGAGAUCGGGAGGAACACCCGUAGCGAAGGCGGCACUCUGGGCCGGUACUGACGCUGAGGAGCGAAAGCGUGGGGAGCGAACAGG
rnacentral:rRNA from 1 species